UGUUUGCCAAGAGAACUUUGGUGUCCUUUAAUGCCAAUGCUUUUUAAAAACAGUUUACCCUCAGUUUUGUAGAAACACAGUAGCCAGGGCAGAUGUGGGAAGGGUGGAGUUUGGGAGUUAAAGGUAGCCAAUGGGGAGGAGGGAAGGGAUCCUUUCCUGUGAUCACUGACAGAUUUCUCUACUCUCAAAUAAGAUGCCCUGCAGGCUCAAUGGGAUGCCACGAAUUCUCACUGAAUUUAUGAUAAUUGAUGACUGCCUCUAUGAGUCUCUUCAUGUAAAGUUUCUUCUCAUAUAUUCCAUCCCAACUAUUUGGGGAGGAGAAGCCUAUAGAACACUAUAUACACUUUUUUUUUUUUUUUUUUUUUUUUUUUGAGAGGGAGUCUCGCUAUUUUUGCCCAGGCUGGAGUGCAGUGGCGCGACCUCCAUUCACUGCAAUCUCUGCCUCCCGGGUUCAAGAGAUUCUCCUGCCUCAGCCUCCUGAAUGGGACUAUAUAUACCUUUUAAAUAUAAUACCUUGUGGCUAUCUGUGCUUUUACGUUUCAGAAUUCCUCCUAUUAUCUGUUUUAAUAAUUCUGGCAAAUCUCAUCUUUCCUUAUCCAGACAUGGUUUUUAUUUUUCAAUUUUAUUUUAGGUUCUGGGGGUACAUAUGUAGAUUUGUUACAUGAGUAAACUGCAUGCCACUGAGGUGUGGUGUAGAAAUGAUCCCAUCACCCAGGUAGUGAGCAGAGUACCCGAUAGGUAGUUUUUCAA
rnacentral:lncRNA from 1 species